GCCGAGGUAGCUCAACUGGCAGAGCAACGGUUUUGUAAACCGUAGGUUGUGGGUUCGAUUCCCAUCCUCGGCU
rnacentral:tRNA from 1 species